CCUACGGGAGGCAGCAGUGGGGAAUAUUGCACAAUGGGGGAAACCCUGAUGCAGCGACGCCGCGUGAGUGAAGAAGUAAUUCGUUAUGUAAAGCUCUAUCAGCAGGGAAGAAAAUGACGGUACCUGAGUAAGAAGCCCCGGCUAACUACGUGCCAGCAGCCGCGGUAAUACGUAGGGGGCAAGCGUUAUCCGGAUUUACUGGGUGUAAAGGGAGCGUAGACGGCAGUGCAGGUCUGGAGUGAAAGGCUGGGGCUCAACCCCCGGACUGCACUGGAAACUGUAAGGCUGGAGUGCAGGUGAGGUAAGUGGAAUUCCUAGUGUAGCGGUGAAAUGCGUAGAUAUUAGGAGGAACACCAGUGGCGAAGGCGGCUUACUGGACUGUAACUGACGUUGAGGCUCGAAAGCGUGGGGAGCAAACAGGAUUAGAUACCCCUGUAGUC
rnacentral:rRNA from 1 species